CAAAGGUCUGGUCCUAGCCUUAUUAUCAACUAGUCUUAAAUUUACACAUGCAAGUCUCCGCACACCAGUGAAAACGCCCUCCACACUCAACAGAAACAGGAGCUGGUAUCAGGCACACAAUCUGCCCACAACACCUAGCAUAGCCACACCCCCAAGGGUCCUCAGCAGUGAUAAACAUUGUCCAUAAGCGUCAGCUUGACUCAGUUAAAGACAUUAGGGCCGGCCAAUCCGGUGCCAGCCGCCGCGGAUACACCGUUCAAUACAGGCCCAAGUUGAUACCUCCGGCGUAAAGCGUGAUUAAAGUCCACCCACCAUUAGAGUUAAACCCAAACAACAUCGUAAUACACUUGUCACCUAGAAAACCAAAAACGAAAGUUACUCUAACUUCCCCUACUUGAAUACACGACAGCUAGGAAACAAACUGGGAUUAGGUACCUCACUAUGCCUAGCCGUAAAAUAUACACCUACACCCCCCCCCCAUCGCCCGGGAAUUACGAGCUCAAACUUAAAACCCAAAGGACUUGACGGUGUCCCAACCCCCCUAGAGGAGCCUGUGCUAUAAUCACGACUACACCCGCUAAACCCGACUGCUUUUUGACCAUCAGCCUGUAUACUUCCGUCGCAAGCUCACCCUGUUGAAAGUCAUACAGUGAGCCCAAGGACUUUAACGCCAACACGUCAGGUCAAGGUGCAGCCUACAAAGCAGACAGUAAUGGGCUACAAUUUCUAUGAUAGAACCCACGGAAGGCCGUAUGAAACAUAGCCUGAAGCAGGAUUUAGUAGUAAAAAGAAAAUAAAGUGUUCUUUUUAACUAGGUUCUGGGACACGUACAAACCGCCCGUCACCCUCUUCGUCAAUCAUCAAAUAGCUAAAUAACCCCCAAACACAUACCAGAAGAGGCAAGUCGUAACAAGGUAAGUAUACUGGAAAGUGUACUUGGAAUAA
rnacentral:ncRNA from 1 species